rnacentral:rRNA from 1 species
UACGGAGGGGGCUAGCGUUGUUCGGAAUUACUGGGCGUAAAGCGCGCGUAGGCGGCUUUGUAAGUUAGAGGUGAAAGCCCGGAGCUCAACUCCGGAAUUGCCUUUAAGACUGCAUCGCUAGAAUCAUGGAGAGGUGAGUGGAAUUCCGAGUGUAGAGGUGAAAUUCGUAGAUAUUCGGAAGAACACCAGAAGCGAAGGCGGCCAACUGGCCCGAUACUGACGCUGAGGCGCGAAAGCGUGGGGAGCAAACAGG